GAUGAACGCUGGCGGCGUGCUUAACACAUGCAAGUCGAACGAAGCAAUUUUUUACGAUCCCUUCGGGGUGACGGAUUAUUGACUGAGUGGCGGACGGGUGAGUAACGCGUGGGUAACCUACCUUGUACAGGGGGACAACAGUUGGAAACGACUGCUAAUACCGCAUAAGCGCACAGCAUCGCAUGAUGCAGUGUGAAAAGUUUUUUCGGUACAAGAUGGACCCGCGUCUGAUUAGCUAGUUGGUGAGGUAACGGCCCACCAAGGCGACGAUCAGUAGCCGACCUGAGAGGGUGACCGGCCACUAUUGGGACUGAGACACGGCCCAAACUCCUACGGGAGGCAGCUAGUGGGGAAUAUUGCACUAAUGGGCGAAAGCCUGAUGCAGCGACGCCGCGUGAGCGAAGAAGUAUUUCGGUAUGUAAAGCUCUAUCAGCAGGAAGAUAAUGACGUAC
rnacentral:rRNA from 1 species